rnacentral:rRNA from 1 species
UGUGCCAGCAGCCGCGGUAAUACAGAGACUGCAAGCGUUAUUCGGAUUCACUGGGCGUAAAGGGUGCGCAGGCGGUUGGGUGUGUCAGAUGUGAAAUCCCGAGGCUCAACCUCGGAACUGCGUCUGAAACUACUCGACUAGAGUACUGGAGAGGGUAACGGAAUUCACGGUGUAGCAGUGAAAUGCGUAGAUAUCGUGAGGAACACCAGAGGCGAAGGCGGUUACCUGGACAGUUACUGACGCUCAGGCACGAAAGCAUGGGGAGCAAAAGGGAUUAGAUACCCCUGUAGUCCAUGCCCUAAACGGUGCACACUAGGUCUUGGCGGAUUCGACCCCUCCAGGGCCCAAGCUAACGCGUUAAGUGUGCCGCCUGAGGACUACGGUCGCAAGACUAAAACUCAAAGGAAUUGACGGG